GUAGGUCCCCGAUCAUAUCAUUAUUAUUAUGCUCUCAGCUUACCUGUGACAGAGGGAAAGAGUAGCAAGAGACGGACCCAACCUUCAUGUAAACUUGUUUUCUUCUGCUCCUUCACCCACUUCAUCUUCAACCUAUGUGAUCAAUGUGAAGAUGAAGAUGCAACUCUGAUCAGAAAAUGUUACCCUGGAGGGCUUUUAAGUUCCCAUAUUAGCUCUUCCUGCAAGCACUAAACGAGGAUUUCUGGAGGUUGCUCACUCUUACUCAUGAAUAUGUCAUAAUUGCAUUGCCGUUCACACACCAGACAGGUCCUUCCCUGGCAUCUUGGGAUGGAGUUAAAAUCAGAAAAUUUUAUGUUGAGCAAGGUCAGAGUUGAUACAAGUAAUAAUGAACUGGCAUCUUCAGAACAUGGGAGCUUCCUCUUGCACAAGACUUUUUGUCCCAGAUAUGAUUUAGAGCCACUGAAUAUUACUCUGAGAAAUGAGAUUUUACUGACGGCAUUUACAGAAACUCCUCGAUGAUAAUGGUGAAAGCAAUUUGCAACCUCCUGCGUAAAACCAGGGUCACAAGCUACUAGCAGAAUCUGAAGCAACUCGGUAGCUGAUACCUAUAGUAUUGAGUGUGCCUCAUAAAGAUCGUACGUUCUCUACUAUGAGAGAGUUCCCCUUGGCAACUUCAAAACCUGUCUUUGAAUUUAUUGUUGGAAGACAGUGAAACUAAAUUUUAUUUUUAGCGUUAAGUCAGACACAGUUUUACGUCCUCUCAAAAUAGUAUUGCUGAUAGUUUUUCCUCCUUUCACUUUAAAGCAGAAUGUAAUAAAUUCAAGUUUAUGGGACUGAACUGUAAGAGCUCAAUUGCUCGGUUCACGUGAUAAGUAAUUUUUCUUAGUU